UACGAAGGGGGCUAGCGUUGCUCGGAAUCACUGGGCGUAAAGCGCACGUAGGCGGCUUUCUAAGUCAGGGGUGAAAUCCUGGAGCUCAACUCCAGAACUGCCUUUGAUACUGGAGAGCUUGAGUCCGGAAGAGGUGGGUGGAACUCCGAGUGUAGAGGUGAAAUUCGUAGAUAUUCGGAAGAACACCAGUGGCGAAGGCGGCUCACUGGUCCGGUACUGACGCUGAGGUGCGAAAGCGUGGGGAGCAAACAGG
rnacentral:rRNA from 1 species